rnacentral:tRNA from 1 species
GGGCGKAUGGUCUAGUGGUAUGAUUCUCCCUUAGCAAGAGCAGUCCGAGCGAUUGCCCGAACUUGGGAGAGGUCCAGGGUUCAAUUCCCUGUUCGUCCA